UAUGUUUGAAGGUACUUGUACGCACGAGGUAUAUGUUCUCAAGGUAGAAGUUAUAUUUUUUUUGUUCUUUUUUUUUUAAUGUACAGGAGCGAUAUCCCGCUGCAGAAGGAGAAUGUCUUGUGUGUGCUCAACCUGGCCACGAGGAAGGAAUUUAUUUCUCAAUGUUUCCCCGCUUCUUUCCAACCCUCUUUCCUUCCCUUCAAUUCGAUCUUUUGUUGUUUUUUUCUUCAAACUUUAUGGCGUUUUAAUCGUGUACUUCUCUCUCCAAAACACGUAUCUGUAUUUCUCUAUCCCUGUUGAUGUUUGCCUCCCCUUUAGAGCUCGCCUUUUUUAUUCCCUCUUUCUCUAUCACUCUCCACCCUUUUCGUUUCUUUCGUAACCGUUUUCGUACUCAGUUUCUUCCACUUCUUCUUCUUCCGCCUUUUCCUUCUCGUUUUCUUCCGAAUGGUGAGCCUUUUCGCUUGACGAUCGACGGCGGCGCCCUCUACGUCGCGGUACACGCUCUCACGGAAGGUCAGAAGUCGUUAUCACCUCCUCGAGCUUUCCCACUUGCUAGCCACAUCGCCCUGGGCCCCGCUACCGCCCUCCUCCCACUGGUGCUCAACUACCACCACCAUCUGUGAGAGGCAUAUAAAGUAGUUAGAAAGUAAGUUGUUAGGACUUUGAAGAAAAAUUGUGGAAAGUUAAAGAAGUCGAGAUGAGAACCACUGACGCAAAGACCACACGAGUCUAUCGUCCUCAAGAACUCUCGGUAUGAGCGGGCAAUGUUUUCAGCUCGGUCACUAGUGCCAAGGGAAAGCGCCC
rnacentral:misc_RNA from 1 species